rnacentral:misc_RNA from 2 species
AACGCACAUUGCGCCCACUGGUAUUCCGGUGGGCAUGCCUGUUCGAGCGUCAUUAUCCUCCCUCAAACCCCGGGUUUGGUGUUGGGCCAGGUCGUCGGCGACGGCGACCGGCCCCAAAGACAAUGACGGCGUCCGCGGGACCCUCGGUGCAACGAGUUCUUAGGAGCACGCAUCGAGUCUAAACAGUCCCUCCGGGCCGGCCACCUUUUUAAUUUUUACAAGGUUGACCUCGGAUCAGGUAGGAAUACCCGCUGAACUUAA